GACGAAGGAUGCAAGCGUUAUCCGGAUUCAUUGGGUUUAAAGGGAGCGUAGGCGGAUAGGUAAGUCAGUGGUGAAAUCCCAUCGCUUAACGAUGGAACUGCCAUUGAUACUGCUUAUCUAGAGUACAGUUGCCGUUGGCGGAAUAUGACAUGUAGUGGUGAAAUACUUAGAUAUGUCAUAGAACACCGAUUGCGAAGGCAGCUAACGAAGCUGUAACUGACGCUGAGGUGCGAAAGCGUGGGGAGCAAACAGG
rnacentral:rRNA from 1 species